ensembl:misc_RNA Metazoa_SRP Metazoan signal recognition particle RNA
GCCGGGCAUGGUGGUGCGUGCCUGUAGUCCCAGCUACUCAGGAGGCUGAGGUGGGAGGAUCAUUUGAGCCCAAGAGGUCAAGGCUGCAGUGAGCCAAGAUUGCGCCACUGCACUCCAGCCUGGGCAACAGAGUGAGACCCUAUCUCAA